GGACACACCGGGCCCUGCAGGAGGUGGUGACGUGCAUUCUGAGGCAGGUCGCCCGCAAGCGCAGGGGGCAGAGGGAUGAGCAGGCAGAUCUGCAGGACAAGCUCAAGUGGUAAAUCUCUCCAGACAUGGGCAGUGCUUCCUCGCCUGCAGCGCCCGUCGUCCUGCCCGCAGCAGCGGGGGACAGGGGCACUGCUCUGAGCCUCUCGGCAGAGCCGCCUUCUGAGCUGUGGCAGGCGCCAGCUUGGGAGCCCCGGCUGGAGCGCGGCUCCCUGUGCUCACACCUCCUCCUCCCGUCCUGUCCGCAGGGAGCUGGCAGUGCUGCAGUGGCAUCGCUCGGGGAGAGAGGCACGCAGCAGCCAGCUGUGGGAAGCUGGAGCCCAACCUGCACCCAGUGCUUGGCCAGGGAAGAGGAGGGCAGGAGCGGUACGUGACAUGGGUUUGUGGAGGGACUCUGGCGUAUCCACCUGUAGAAAAGCACAGCCUUCGCUCUUGUCACCUCCAGAAACACCCAAGGAUUUGAUCUGGAGGUGUUUCAAUGGCAAUGGCCCUGCCAGGCUUAGGCAGUAUAGGAAGCAGCUAGGUUGCUUUCAGCCCCAUGGUCACUUGGCUCGGGGAUCAUUGCAGAAAGACUCUGCACUCAGGCCUCUGAGGACUAGACCUACUAGACAGCAGUUCUGCUGAGAAGGAUCUGGGAGUAUUGGUGGAUGACAAGUUGACCAUGAGCCGCAGUGUGCCCUUGCAGCCAGGAAGGCCAGUAGUAUCCUGGGGUGUAUUGGGAGGAGUGUGGCCAGCAGGUCAAGGAAGGUGAUCCUCCUCCCUUUACUCGACCCUGAUGUGGCCGCAUCUGGAGCCCUGUGCCCAGUUCUGGGCUCCACAUUACAAGACAGACAAGGAGCUACUGGAGAGUGUCCAGCAGAGGGCCACAAAGACGGUUAUAGGUCUGGAGCAUCUCUCUUCUGAGAACAGAUUGCGGGAGCUGGGCCUGUUUAGUUUGGAGAAAAGAAGGCUGAGAGCGGAUCUCGUUACUUCAUACCAACAUGUCAAACGUGGGUGUCAGGAGGAUGGUGCCAGACUCUUUUCAGUGGUGGCCAGCAACAGGACAAGGAGCAAUGGCCAUAAACUAAACCACAAGAAGUUUCACCUCAACAUGAGGAAGCACUUUCUGUUUGAGUGUGGCAGAGCACUGAACAGGCUGCCCAGGAGGGGCUGGAAUCUCCCUCUCUAGAGACAUUCAAACCCCACGUGGUUGCGUUGCUGUGCGACCUGCUGUGGGUGGCCCUGCCUUGGCGGGGGGUUGGACUGGGUGAUCUCCAGAGGUCCCUUCCUACCCUGAUGAUUCUGUGAUUUUGUGAGUGCAAGCAAAGCAGGGCUGACAGAGAGGCUGAAAAGAAGGGGCAGGAGGGAGGGGGAGAGCUAAAAUAUCGCCAGCCCUCUGCCGGGGAGACUAACAGCGCUUGCUGCUGCAUUGCCAUGGCCCUGCAGGCACAGGUCUGCGUGUGCACGGAGGAGGAGGAGAAACGCAAGCUCUGGGACUCGUUGCGCAAGAAGUGCCAGAAGGCAAGGGCGAAAGUGGCAACCCCGAAGGCUUGGAAAGAAAAGCGAGAGCAAUGGGAGGUCCAGGUACUGGAGGCAAUGAAAAAUAAUUAGGAAGAGAGCAUUCUUCUCCUCCAGGGAGCCAAGGUGGGAAGGUCCCUAAGGCAUAGGUGCAUGGGGGCUGACUGUCCUGUGUGGGACUGUAUUAGCUCAAGGCACCUUCCCUAUUGCCCAGCGACAUCUCUUCUGCUCACCUCUCUGUCUGUGCAGGGUCCUGCAUUCGUGGCAUUCCCAAGUGGUGGAGAGACACCAGGAGAGGAUGAGGAGAGCCCAGAGGACAAGCUGAGUCUUUGGCUUCCGGAGUACUCAUCUCUGCAAAGGUUGGUCUCAUCGAACUAACCCAGCGCCAGCAGCUGGGUCUAGAAGCUCCAUUUCAUUUCUCACAUCACAAGAUGAGGAACAGGGAAGCAGGAAGAAACAUGUGAACUAAGUGGUUUCCAGCAAGGCACUGUCUGUAAAGCAGUUUUCAUAUAGUACACUUGUGAUCAGGAAAUUAGCCUCCAUGACAAAAGAGUUUGGUGGUUCUGCGUAAGAAGCAGCUAUUUGGCCAUAGGCAGAGCAGAAUCCAAACAGCCCUGGAGGUACCAUGCUUUUAGUAUUACUGUAGGGAUGACCCAGAGCAGAGGUUCUCUCUCUCCGCUGUCCUUUCCAGCACGUUGGUGUAGUUUUGCCCUGAAAUUGCCACUGCUCGAAGCAGAGGCAAAGUGGAGGAAAACUAGUGAACUAAUAAUAAUAAAGAGUUGUAAUAACACUAACUGUUGUUCAACCACACAGCUGUGUUUGGACAGGGGAAGCAAGUACCCACAAGCAGAGGGUGCUGGAAAGCGGCACCCUGUGCCCUGGCCCAGGAAUCAAACACGAGGAAGGCAGAUGUGAACACAGACUCUUUAUUUUAAAUGGGGAUAUAAAAAGAGGGGAUGGGGGGAUGCGGUGGGGGGGGAGGGGUGGAAUUUUAUACUGACAGUUAAAUAAUGCUAAAAUGAUAGUAAAAUUAUGGUAAAAACAAUACUAGAACAACAAUAGUACAACAAAGUAGUACAAAGGUUUAAUUACAAAUAGUAUAAAGGUUUAACAACAAUAAUAGAACAAUAUUAGAACAUCAAAAGAACAAUAAAAUAACAAAAGAACAACAGUAUAACAACAAUAUUAAAACAAGUGAAGAACACAUGUAGAACAAUAAAAUCUCCAAUGAAUAUCACGGCCGACGACGUUUUGUUGCUGGUUGUCCAAACGGCCACUUGGCAUCGGAGCGGUCCUCCUCCUGGGGGAAGAACAAAAAACCAAACAGAACAGGUUUAGUCACAUCCAUGUACAUCAUAUUUCAGAAGGAAGGAGAUGCUGUAACAGCUCAAAUCUAAAAAUAAAGUGUGAUUCCAUUAAAGAA
rnacentral:lncRNA from 1 species